ACUAUGUAUACAUGUAUGUGGUAAACAGUAUGAUGGCAUUCCAGGCAUGUCCAUGUCUUAAUCCACAGCAUGUGCUGUUAUUACUUGGCAAGGAUGAUUGAGAUUACAGAUAAAAUUAAGAUGAGCUAUCAAAGGGCCUUAAAAUAAGGAGCUUAUCCUGGAUUACCUGGAUGAGCUCACUGUGACAGGAACAAACCACAUAUUGAUAUACAGUAAAUAUCUAUUAAAAGCAAUAACUAUACCACCAUUAACAAUAACGACCAGCAAUAAUACCACCAUGUCAACUAAAUAGCUAAAAAUUAAUAAAGCUUAACAGUAAAAGUGGAGGAGGUGGGGGAAGAAAAGAAAGGAAGUAAAAUUUGAAAAAUAAAGAAAAGAAAGAUGAGAAGGGGAGAGAAACGUGAGAUAAAAAUCCAGUUAAAGAAGGAAAGAAAGUUCAUAGAGUUAGGUAAGGCAACGGAAAAAAGACAAGCAUGAAAAAAAGUAAUGAAAAAGAAUAAAAACACAGAGCAAAAGAUAGGGGAAAAAGAAAUAAAAACAAACCCAAGACAAAGAAAAAGAGAAAUGAGUCCAACAACUGCUUCCAUAUGUUUGAGUGAGCGGUUUCUUUCCAGGGCUUGCAGUACUGGAAUCUGCCAGAUUUGAGCAGGGGAUACUGAGUCACAAUGAAGGCCUGUUUUGUUUCCAUGCCUACUGUCUGCUGUGCGAAUGCUGAGUCUUACGCCACCUCCCCUGGGCCUGAGCUUAUGCAGAGUGCGAUGAGCAGAGUUCCAAGCCCAGCACCUUUGCCAAGAAGCCCUGUGUGGCUCACUGCAGGCGUGCUGUUCAAAUAGCAGACAUUCACCUGGGACUACACUGACUUCUGUGACAUCACCUGCUUCCGUGUGUUGCACUGAGGGAUUUGCCAGCAUGGAAGAUCUUCCUUGAAUGAGAUAAGCACAGUGAUCUUCUAGGGAGAGGGAAGUUCGUUUCCUCAUGCUGAUCGGCAAAGUCUUAUUUGGACUGGAGGACAAGUGGUGGUUGCUGGUUCCUGGAUGCAGAGUUCCAGUCUGGACUUUUGGGAAAGUUCUGGGUGUGGAGAGUGAUGGUGGUUGCACAAUGUGAAUAUAUUUAAUGCCACUGAAUUACACUUAUCAUUAGUCAAAAUGGAAGUGUGGUAUUAUGGUAUAAAUAUAUCAGGAAAAAAGAGGCCCUGCUUUGGGAGUGUGGGGAGGUAUCAUGUCAAACAGCUCUUCUUACCUCUUUAUAACACAGUGGGCAGAGAAGAAGCUGGUAGAACCCAGGGAGCCCCCAGGGUCUGCAGUCCCUGACGACUUGUGGCCAGUGACUUCCUGUAGUCACCUCUGUGAGGCCUACUGAAGAGAGUGACCCCAAACCCCGACCAGACCAGGCCCCAGCC
rnacentral:lncRNA from 1 species